rnacentral:rRNA from 1 species
GAUGAACGCUAGCGGCAGGCCUAAUACAUGCAAGCCGAACGGUAAGUGGUGUAGCAAUAUACCACCAAGAGUGGCGUAAGGGUGCGUAACACGUAUGCAAUCUGCCCGCAACAGGAGGAUAGCUCCCCGAAAGGGGAAUUAAUACUCCAUAAGAUCACGCGAGGGCAUCUGAGAGUGAUUAAACUACAAGGGGUUGCGGAUGAGCAUGCGGUUGAUUAGCUAGUUGGUAGUGUAAUGGACUACCAAGGCAAUGAUCAAUAGGGGAACUGA